CAGCCGCCGCGGUAAUACGAGGGGGGCAAGCGUUGUUCGGAAUUAUUGGGCGUAAAGGGUGCGUAGGCGGUUUGACAAGUCUUAUGUGAAAUCUCUGGGCUCAACCCAGAGUCUGCAUGGGAAACUGUCGAGCUUGAGUAUGGGAGAGGUGAGUGGAGUUUCCGGUGUAGCGGUGAAAUUCGUAGAUAUUCGGAAGAACACCAGUGGCGAAGGCGGCUCACUGGACGACUGUUGACGCUGAGGUGCGAAAGCGUGGGGAGCAAACAGGAUUAGAUACCCGUGUAGUCCCUGUCUCUUAUAC
rnacentral:rRNA from 1 species